GCCCCGAAUUAUCCGGGCUACACGCGGGCUACAAUGGUCAGGACGAAUGGGUAUCGACACCGGAGAGGUGGAGGCAAUCUCCUAAACCUGUCCUUAGUUCGGAUUGUGGGCUGCAACUCGCCCUCAUGAAGCUGGAAUCCGUAGUAAUCGCGUUUCAACAGAACGCGGUGAAUACGUCCCUGCCGUCCUU
rnacentral:rRNA from 1 species